AACGAACGCUGGCGGCAUGCCUAACACAUGCAAGUCGAACGAGACCUUCGGGUCUAGUGGCGCACGGGUGCGUAACGCGUGGGAACCUGCCCUUAGGUUCGGAAUAACUCCCCGAAAGGGGUGCUAAUACCGGAUAAUGUCUUCGGACCAAAGAUUUAUCGCCUUUGGAUGGGCCCGCGUUGGAUUAGCUAGUUGGUAGGGUAAAAGCCUACCAAGGCGACGAUCCAUAGCUGGUCGGAGAGGAUGAUCAGCCACACUGGGACUGAGACACGGCCCAGACUCCUACGGGAGGCAGCAGUGGGGAAUAUUGGACAAUGGGCGAAAGCCUGAUCCAGCAAUGCCGCGUGAGUGAUGAAGGCCUUAGGGUUGUAAAGCUCUUUUACCCGGGAUGAUAAUGACAGUACCGGGAGAAUAAGCUCCGGCUAACUCCGU
rnacentral:rRNA from 1 species